GACGAACGCUGGCGGCGUGCUUAACACAUGCAAGUCGAACGGAACUCUUUGGAUCGAGACUUCGGUCAAGUGAAUCUGAGUUUAGUGGCGGACGGGUGAGUAACGCGUGAGGAACCUGCCUUUCAGAGGGGGACAACAGUUGGAAACGACUGCUAAUACCGCAUAACGCAUAUUGAUCGCAUGGUCGAUAUGCCAAAGAUUUAUCGCUGAAAGAUGGCCUCGCGGCCUAUCAGUUUGUUGGUGGGGUAACGGCCCACCAAGGCGUCGACGGGUAGCUGGUCUGAGAGGACGAUCAGCCACACUGGGACUGAGACACGGCCCAGACUCCUACGGGAGGCAGCAGUGGGGAAUCUUGCGCAAUGGGCGAAAGCCUGACGCAGCAACGCCGCGUGCGGGAUGAAGGCCCUCGGGUUGUAAACCGCUUUCAGUGGGGACGAACCAAGACGGUACCCACAGAAGAAGCCCCGGCCAACUACGUGCCAGCAGCCGCGGU
rnacentral:rRNA from 1 species